GAGUGAACGCUGGCGGCGUGCUUAACACAUGCAAGGUCGAACGGUAGAAAGGGUAGCGUUGCUAUCUUUUCUUAGUGGCGGACGGGUGAGUAACGCGUGGGUAACCUGCCCUUUGCAGGGGGAUAACAGUGAGAAAUCACUGCUAAUACCGCAUACCAACUUCUUUCGCAUGAAAGAAGUUUGAAAGAUUUAUCGGCAAAGGAUGGACCCGCGUUGGAUUAGCUAGUUGGUGAGAUAACAGCCCACCAAGGCAACGAUCCAUAGCCGGCCUGAGAGGGUGAACGGCCACACUGGGACUGAGACACGGCCCAGACUCCUACGGGAGGCAGCAGUGGGGAAUAUUGCACAAUGGGCGAAAGCCUGAUGCAGCGACGCCGCGUGAAGGAUGAAGGUCUUCGGAUUGUAAACUUCUAUCAGCAGGGAAGAAAGGGCUUAUAGCCUAUGACGGUACCUGACUAAGAAGCCCCGGCUAACUACGUG
rnacentral:rRNA from 1 species